UGCCCCGACAGAAGACUUGACCUCAAUUCGGUGGAAUUAUCAGGGCGUCAUUAUUAAACACCGUGCGAUUGUAAUCUUAAACGCCUGAUUAAAGAGGAAGAAAGGAAAAUAAAUUUUAAAAAAGAGAGAGAAAAGAAAAAAUUGAAGUCCAUUUGCCGUUGUGAGACAAAAAUUUUUCUUUUUCUUUGAUAAUUCCAUCCAUCACUAAAAUAAAAUUGUUCUCUUCCCGUUCUUUACUUCUAUUCAAGGAUUGUUCGUUGCCCCAGGUGGACAUCAGAUUCUGAGAUUAAGUUGGGCCAGCUCGGCCCUUCGUUUUCUUUUUAUCGGUGAACUGAGGAUCCAGAUUUUUCGAGGAGAUUCAGGUCCCUCAGGUAGUUUACCAGACUGGAGAAGAAGUUUGCAAUUCCACGGUGUGAUUCUUCCGUUCCGGCCGAGACUUUUUGAAUUUUGUUGACAGCUGGCAACCUUGGUUGAUUCAGAUGAUGCCAUGAGGAUACGAAUUUCUUUUCUGGAGGAGCGGAGGCUUGGAAGCUGAUUGUCAUGCGCAGUUGAAGUUUCACUGUUUUGGCAUUUCCGCAAUUUUGCUUUUACAGAAUGAUGACAUAUAUGGGGACUCCUAGGCGUAACAGCUUGCACGUAAGAAGACCAAAUGAAACAAUGAGGCUGCUUGUCACAACCUUUGUAGGAAUUGUUUUUGGAUUCUUUUUAGGUGUAUCCUUUCCGACAAUCUCAUUGUCUAAGGCAUGCAACCACUUUCUUUUUCCCCUUUUUUGGUUAAUAAUUUCCGACUGUGCCUCAUAAUGGUAGAUGACAUGAAGAAGCAGAAAAAUAUUCUAGAAUUCUAAAUGUCAAUCAACCAAGUCUUUGAAGGAUGCUGGGAAGAAAUCUCACUCUAUUGACCUUAUGAUUGUAAACCCAAAAUCAUUUAGAUGAACACCAACAGCAAUCAUUACGAUAUCUGCCAUUGAAGAAUAACCAUAUCUGCCAUUGAAGAAUAAAUCACA